GAAGUGGGUCUCACGCAACAGGAACCUGUGAACCUGGUCAGGAUCGGAAGGUAGCAGCCAUAAGCAGUCAUUUCUGUGUGAUGUGAGGGUGCCUAUUUUGAGC
rnacentral:SRP_RNA from 1 species